rnacentral:rRNA from 1 species
UGGGGAAUUUUGGACAAUGGGCGAAAGCCUGAUCCAGCAAUGCCGCGUGUGUGAAGAAGGCCUUCGGGUUGUAAAGCACUUUUGUCCGGAAAGAAAUCCUUGACUCUAAUACAGUCGGGGGAUGACGGUACCGGAAGAAUAAGCACCGGCUAACUACGUGCCAGCAGCCGCGGUAAUACGUAGGGUGCAAGCGUUAAUCGGAAUUACUGGGCGUAAAGCGUGCGCAGGCGGUUUGCUAAGACCGAUGUGAAAUCCCCGGGCUCAACCUGGGAACUGCAUUGGUGACUGGCAGGCUAGAGUAUGGCAGAGGGGGGUAGAAUUCCACGUGUAGCAGUGAAAUGCGUAGAGAUGUGGAGGAAUACCGAUGGCGAAGGCAGCCCCCUGGGCCAAUACUGACGCUCAUGCACGAAAGCGUGGGGAGCAAACAGGAUUAGAUACCCUGGUAGUCCACGCCCUAAACGAUGUCAACUAGUUGUUGGGGAUUCAUUUCCUUAGUAACGUAGCUAACGCGUGAAGUUGACCGCCUGGGGAGUACGGUCGCAAGAUUAAAACUUAAAGGAAUUGACGGGGUCAUA